AGAAGGGAGCAAAACGGGAAAACAAACGCAAACCACCACCAAGAACAAAAGCGAUCGGGGAAACUAAAGAAAACGGAGAAAAACAAAAUACAAACCGGAAUGAAAACAAAACGCUGGGAAACCCUGAAAAUGAAAGUUCAUGGUGACAGACCAGAUUAUGCCGAGAUGUGACUACUGAGAGCGGUGCGUGGACUCUGCUGCUCUAGAAAGUGUGAUGUAUUCCUGUGCCUGACCCUGACCCAUCUAGGCAUGGACUCCACUAGACCCCUGAAGGUGUGCUGUGGAAUCUGGCAUCAAGAUGUUAGCAGCAGAUCCUCCAACUCCUGUAAGUUGCGAGGUGGGGCAUCCAUAAAUUGGACUUGUUUGUCCAGCACAUCCCACAGAUGCUCACCUCUUUUUUAUUAUCCUCCAGCAUUCUCUGAUGUGUUACCAUUCUGUUUCUAGGAUGUUUUAUAUUUUUAAUAAAGUAAAAUAGCCAAUUUUUUUGAUACCUCCCACAAAUGCUUAUCCAUUUAAAUACCGAGGCAAUUUCUGCGAUGUACAACCCCAAAUCAGAAGAAGUUGGGAUGGUAUGGAAAAUGCAAGUUAGAAAUCAGUGUUUAUUAAAUUUACUUUGACUUUUAUUUCAUUGCAGACAAUAAAUCCAAGAUAUUUCA